GGACGGUCGGCGUGGAUAUGCAAUGCAUGCAUCGAGGCGGAUCCAAGGUCAGGGUCCCACCCACACUGCUGGUUCCGUGUCCUCGCAUCCCUGUCUUCUCUUCUCCUCGCUAUACCACCAGGGCAAAAGCUCAAGAAGUGAAAUUUCCAACAUCUUCUGCAGAUUUUCCACUGCAUUUUCUAUUGCCAUGGCUCCAAGAGGAAGAUCCAGGAAGGUGGGGAUGAAACGAAUCGACGCUGCCAUCGAUGCUUUACUUCCGUUGGGAUUUUCCAAGGAAUUGAUUCGCAAGACAGUAGAUUCCCUUUUGAAGGUAUACGAGGGAGAUUCUGGUUGGGUUUUCAUCGAGGAGGCGUCUUACAAGCUCGUAAUCGAGUCAAUUUUGGAAGAGCAAGAAAAGGGUUUGGUUGAGGAAAAAGAAUCUUGUGAAGAUGGAAGCAAUGCUCCUUUGACAGGCGAAGUUGUUAGUGUUGGAGCAACAAGUACGGAUCCUGUGAUUACAGGACAUGUUACUGAGAAAGGUGAGUCCUCAGCAGCUGUGACCACAUGCGAAGCUGCUGGGGUCAUCCCAACAAACACAGAUCCUGCAGUUAUGAGGCAGUUAGCUGAGAUUGCCGAGGCUUUUCCAGCUGUUGUGACCACAUGUGAAGCUGCUGGGGUUGUCCCAACAAGCGCGGAUCCCACAGUUAUGAGGCAGAUAACAGAGACUGGUCCACUGGAAGAUGUAGGUUGGAAAGACAUCUCAUGUGACAAAAAGUCGCUUGGCAAUGACGAUGAAGCUGGGCUGAGUUGCUCCAAACACAUUAGGAGUCCUUCCUGCCCAAGAAGGAAACCCUGUUACGGGUGGAUAUCUGACAAUGAAAGUGAAGAGGAAGAUGCACCCAUUGAAAAUGAGUUUCCUCAGGAACCCAGAAUUAUCCAGUGCAUGGGUGAUUUGGGCCAAGGGAGAAAGCGGAGAAGUCGCUGGGAUGUGACACCAGACAGUAUGCACGAGCUGUUCCAUAAAACUCCUAACCAUUGUGUGAGAAACUUCAUUUAGCAUAUUGAGGCCAAGAUAAAAAAAGCAGACUGAUUGGAUGAUCCAGACCAUUUGAUCAGAACAGGACCCAACAAUUCGCUGUUGUACAAUUUCUCUCUGAAAUUGAGAGAUUAGGAUCAACCUCAUUUUGGGCCAUGGCCAAAUGGUAGCAUGGGGCUUGCCAGAUUAGCCUUCUGUAUCUUAUACAUGUUUACCAUGCGUCUCUACAGGGAUUUAUGUGUAACAAUAAGUGCUAUGCAGCUCUCGUGUUUGUUGCGGACCACCCUUCUCUGUUGACCUUCUGAUGAUCCAGCGGUCUUGAAGCUGCUCUUUGGAUUGUUGCUGAUGGCGCUGCUUGUUGGAUCAUCCUGCUAAUUCUGUUAGUCGUGCUUUUUCCUUCUUCUUUUUUUUCUUCUUCUUUUUUCUGGUAAAGUGUUUUUUGUACAGCAUUGUAGGACUUUGUAGCUUUGAGCUCAUUGGCUUGUGUGGCCUUGCUGUUAAUGGGACUGUAAGGCUUCUUUAGUGUAGUUGGAUUGUGUUGGGUUUUGAACAGGUUGGGAUGGGCCUGUCAGGCUGGCCCUGUCCAAACUUUUGAUUUUGGUUGAACCAGGCCAGGCCCAUUGAUGGCCCUAGGCUUCUUCAUGUACUUGUUUUCAUUUAAUCAACAAAAGCUUUGUUUUUACGUCAGAAGGGAAAGAAAAUGUCCAUUUGAUUUGUAUGUUUAA